CUUCAACGAGCCGAGCCACAGAGGCUGUUCGGCCGGCCGGUCCUGUCCGUACGUCGCGAGGAGUGCCUGUGCCUC
rnacentral:antisense_RNA from 1 species